rnacentral:rRNA from 1 species
AACGAACGCUGGCGGCAUGCCUAAUACAUGCAAGUCGAACGAGAUCUUCGGAUCUUGUGGCGCUCGGCUGCGUACGGCGUGGGAAUCUGCACUUGGGUUACGUAUACCUUCUGGAAAGGGAAGUUCAUACAGGUUGAUGUCGUACGUCCAAAGAUCUAUCGCCGCAGGAUGAGCCCGCGUAGGAUUAGGCAGUUGGUGAGGUACACGCUCACCAAGCCGUCGAUCCUUAGCUGGUCUGUGAGGAUGAUCAGCCACGCUGGGACUGAGACACGGCCCAGACUCCUACGGAAGGCAGCAGUAGGGAAUAUUAGGCGAUGAGCGAAAGCCUAGUCCAGCAAUGCCGCGUGAGUGAUGAAGGCCUUAGGGUUGUAAAGCUCUUUUACCCGAGAUGAUAAUGACGGUACCGGGAGAAGAAGCUCCGGCUAACUCCGUG